CUGGUUUGGACGAUUCAGGAGCGGGGUGUUUUAAAGCCACCUCUGCUGAACAAUGCAGAAUCUGCAGAAUACUUCUGAGGCAAGAAACUAAAAUCUACUUGUCAUAUUUUCCAAAUGUUAUUUAUCAAAGUAACAAAGAAUGACUUCCCAAACACAUUUGAAAACAGGGGGAGAGGCUAAAGGAAGAGCUCACUCUGCUGUGAUGCUGACGUCACCUCAUAACUUUGGAUUUUGAUUCACCUGAAAAUCUUCUUCUCUAUUCUAAAAUGUUAUUAAGUUCUUCUAUUAAACCAAAGAUGUAUAAAUGUUGUCUAUAAAUCCAGUGCACAAAUGUGAAUUGUUGUGAUAAAUGUGUCUCUUUAGUCCUUACCUAAUGCCAGAAAUCCUAGACUGUGUUAUUAAUAGUGAAUAAAAUUGUGAUGUUGUUAAAAUUUGGCUUUACUAGUUUCUCUAACAAGGAAGAAAUUUAAUUUGGCAAAGGAAAGACUAGGCCAUAAACAAUAAGAUACACUGGAGAAACUAAAAUAAAACAUUUCACAGCACCCAUACAUUUGAAUAAUGGAAACAUGAACUCUAUUGUGUGUUGUGAGAAGUAACCAGCUAUAUAUUAGUUCAUUGUUAACAAUUCCUUCAUAGCCUAAAAUGAGAGAUAAUCAUCCAGAACCCACAUGACCUUUUUGUCUACCUCUUAAAUGAACGUAUUAGUGUCUGGACAUUACAGGUAAUUAAUACAUUGCAGCAGUGUGAAUCACAAAAUAAUUUGCUUUGACAGAUGUAUUUCUUUUAAAAGCAAAGGUUUACAGACAAAUAUUGGGGAUGGGAAAAGUUGGACUUGAAAAUUUUGUCUUUGUUCAAAUGAAAGGUCAGUAAUGCAGGUGAUGACAGAAAUAAAAAAGGAAGAUGAUGAAAUGGAAUUUUGGAAUUGUGUCCAGUCCUGGCCUUGGCGACUCUUGUUGUCAUGGAUACAGCCAAGCAUAUGCCGCAUCACCAUCACAUUUCAUUUAUUUCCUGACAGAACAACAGACGGAAACUCUUAGUAACCUUGACUUUGGCAUUGUUUUUCUUGGGCAUCUGUUACAAAUGCCAAAAUCUGUUUCUCUUUGUUGUGAAUAACAUUUAGAACCUGAUAGACUGAAUUUUUAAUAUGCUUUACCAUCCACCAGGCAGGAAAUACCAUACUACUCUUCAUUUCACCUUUUUAGUGAAAACAGACAUCUUCUGUUUAACCAGCUUAAGUGUAUCAUUUGUAUAAAAUGAAGUAGGGAUUUUUGGUAAAGAUCAUUAAUGAUGUAUAUAAUAGUUAAAACAAAUUUACUUAACAGAUCAUACUUGAUUUAACAAUAACUUGUUGGUACAAAGUACCAGUUGUACCUCCUUUACACCAAUUAUUUGUUGAGGGACCUGCAUGAAGCAUAAUUUUACUCAGAUAAUUCAUCUGAGGCCUUAAAAUUCACUUUAAUGAAGGGUUCAAUUUUAUAAUUGGAGUAGGGCUAAGGGAACCAAAAAUGGAUAUUGAAACACUGAGUGAGUAGCAGCAGUGUGAAGCCACUUCUGGGCCCAUGCAGGAGCAACAGUUACAGGUGCCCAGAAGGAGCUGUGGUUGUGGAGGCAUGCAGCAUGGCUGGAACCACGUUGUGGUACAAGGAGGGAAUGGACGAAUAAUGCUCAGACGCCUCUCUCCUGCAGAAGUGACCUCAAAUGGCCCCUUGGGAGCCUACAUGAUGCAAGGUAUAGGAGUUACCUGUGCUAUGAGGUAGUCUUAAAAAUGAGCAAGUUAAGGGCCAAAGGAGCUAUAAAUUGCCCAAGGUCCCCUUAGAGAUAGUGAAUCCAGACUGUUUGACUCCUGCAGCACUUUGUUUUUUUAAUUAACAGCUUUAUUGAGAUUUAAUUUACUGUACCAUAAAAUUCUCCUGUAUUAAGUGUACAAUUCAGUGAUUUUUAGUAUUUAUAUCACCAGUGUCCCCACAAUCGGAUCUUCGAACAUUUUCAUUACCCCAGAAAGAAACCUCGUGCCCAUUUAUAGUCACUCCCCAUUCUGACCCCUAGCCCUAGCCAACCAUAAUCCAUUUUCUGUCUGUUUAGAUUUGCCUUUUCUGGACAUUUCUUAUCAAUGGAAUCUUAAAAUAUGUGCUCUUUUGUGUUUGGUUUCUCUAAGCAUAAUGUUUUUGAGAUUCAUCCAUGUUGUGGCGUGUAUCAGUAUUUAUAAGUACUUAUAGUGGAAUAAUAUUCUGUUAUAUAGAUAUAGCUCAUUUUGUUCAUCCAUUCGCUAGUAGGUAGACAUUUGGGUUGUUUUUGGAUGGACUUUGUGGAUCCUGUGAAUAAUGCUGCUGUGAACAUUUGCAUAAAUGUAUUUGUAUGAACACCUGUUUCAUUUUCCUUGGGUGGAUACCUGGAGUGGAAUUGUUGGAUUGUAUGGUAAUUCUGUAUUUAACAUUUUGAGGAACUGCUAAACUGUUUGCUAAAGUGGCUGCACUGUUUUAUGUUCCCACCAGCAAUGUGUGAGGGUUCUAGUUUCUCCACAUCCUUGGCAACACUGGUGAUUGUUUUUUUGAUUAUAGCCAUUAAUAUCCUGAAAAUUUCACCUCUUUUUUUUUUUUUGGUGAGGAAGGUUAGCACUGAGCUAACAUCUGUUGCCAAUCCUCCUGUUUUUGCUGAGGAAGAUUGGCCCUGGGCUAACAUCCGUGCCUAUCUUCCUCUACUUUAUAUGUGGGACGCCUGCCACAGUAUGGCCUGAUAAGUGGUAUGUAAGUCCAUGCCCAGGAUCCGAACCCGUGAACCCUGGGCCGCUGAAGCGGAGCAUGCGAACUUAACCACUACGCCACUGGGUCAGUCCCCAAAGUCCACCUUUUUUUUUUUUUUGUGAGGAAGAUCAGCCCUGAGCUAACAUCCAUGCUAAUCCUCCUGUUUUUGCUGAGGAAGACUGGCCCUGAGCUAACAUCCAUGCCCGUCUUCCUCCACUUUACGUGGGAUGCUGCCACAGCAUGGCCUGACAAGUGGUACAUUGGUGCGUGCCCGGGAUCCGAAGCCGGGCCGCCAGCAGCAGAACAUGUGCACCUAACCGCUACGCCACGGGGCCGGCCCAAGUUCACCAUUUUUAACACAUAGAUUUGUCUCUUCUCCCAUAAUCUUCUGCAAAGUCAGGUUCAAAGGAAGGGAAAUGUCUUUCAUCAUCAGCAACUUUGUUAUUUUCACUGUUUUUUAAACUAAAGGACUUUGCUGUGGAAUUACUCAGCAGUUGGUAGUCAAGUGCAUUAAACUCUACAUUUCUUAAUAUUUUUAAAGCAGUUGUAGUGAAACUCGGAGCUACUUGGGUAGUAAUGUGUGUAUGGGGAGUGGUUAUGCCGUUGAAAGGUGUAUUUGAUUUUAGGAUUCCCUUUGCUUUCAAUUUUAGUUUGGGAGCUGAGGGAAGUUUUGUAGAAGAUAGCAGCUAGAGUCACCUUUCAAAAAUGUAGUCACUCCCAUGCUUAAAAAUCCUUCAGUUGUUUUCCAUUGCACUUGGAAUAAAAUCCAAACUCCUUAUUGUACCCACAAGGCUUUUCAUGUCUGCCCCUUGCCUACUCCCUCUCCAGGUGAGUGAAUCUCCUGCCAUCUCCCCUCCCCUCAGUAGUAUACUUAGAGCAUGUUGGUCUUCUUUCACCUUCUCUAUAUUGCAGACUCUUCCCACCUCAGACCUUUGCAUAAGUCUGGUUUGGCACAGGGUUAGCUUAAUAUCCUCUUUUUAUGGAGACCUUUUGCUGAUCACUGUCUCCUCCAGAAGUAAUGUCCCCAUAGAUUCAGUUCUGUCCUCAGCCCAUUUCUCAUGUAAGAUACUCUUGGAAAUUUCACCAGUUUCAUUUCACUUCAAAAAUACCCAACUGGUAAUGAUUGCCAAAUUUUUAUUUCCAGCUCAGAUUUCUUUCCGGAGUUCUAAGUGGAAAAGUUCAUUAGUUCUUCUCUGAAUAUUUCUCACUGCAUCUCUUAUGAGCACUUCACCUCAGACUUAAUGAAUCCAAAAUCGAGCUCUUCCAAAUUUGUUCCUCAUUGUGGGUGGUUCACUAUCAUUCAUGAUUCCUCUGUCUUUCGCCACAAAUCAUUAUUCUCCCAGUCUUGUCAAUUCUAUUUUUUAAGAGUUCUGAAAUGUCUAACUAUACCAAUGUUCUGUCCAUAUAAUUUUUUACCUGGAUUUCUGCAGUAGGAUCUUGGCCUUCUUGCUUUCAGGCUUGCUCUACUCUUCACACUGCUUAUCAGGUUAUCUUUCUCAGAUAGUGAUUCUCUACUGCUGGUACAAGGCAGAAUUGCUUUAAGAGCUUUUUCAAAGUGCUUUACAGGGUCCCAUCUCAGAACUACUAAUAAAUAACUUCUGGAAGUGAGAAUCGGGAGUGUAUAGUUUGAAAAAACACACGAGAUGAUGCUGAUAAGCACCCAUGGUUAAAACAUUCUUUUAAAAUACAAAUUUAAUCAUUUAACUCUGAUUAAAAUUCCUUAGAGGCUCCUGAUUCCCUUGCAGAUAAAAUGUGAGAUCCUCAUUUUGGCAUAUAAUUUUCUGUAAUCUGGCUCCUGUCUGACUUAUAUCCCCAUCCCCCAAUAUAGCCUUGCAGAAUUACUUACAGGUCUACUAAUGUACCAUCUCAUUCACAUUUCCAGGUCUUUCUAAAUGAUAUUGUCUCUUCCUGAAGUACUCUUCUCUUUCUUUCCUUGGAUAAUUUCUCCUCUUCCUUUCAAUACUCAGCUAUCAUUUCCUAGAGGUAAGCUUUCUCAUACUGUGUUAUGUUUGUUUAUUUAUUUACUUAUGCCUUUUUAUUUCUGUGUCUUUUAGCACAUAAUCCUUGGCAGUCAAUAAAUGUCAGUUGUGUAAAUGCAGACCUCACCUUUAGGUGCAACAGUAAUAGCACUGAUUGAACGUUAUGUGCCAAACAUAGGAUUGUGCUAAAUGCUAUAUAGAUGCUUUAUCAUUUACUCUCACAAAGCAUUAUGAAGGUGUGUGUUGUUAUUACCCAUAUUUUAUAGUUGAGGAAACUGAGACAGAGAGAGACUAUGUGGUUAGCCUCCAGUUGCAGAAUUUGUAAAGUACAGAACUGGAUUUGAAUCCUGUGGCUUAUUUGCGAAGCCUGUGCUUUAAUACAGCUGUUUUGUGGUUGUUUCACGUUUCAUUUGUUUAUUUUUUCAAAUUUACAAUGCAUCCUUAAUAAGGGCUGAUUAUUCUUAUACUUCAGGUUUUUAAAAAAAUUUUCAGACUGCGAUUAGCUAAAAUAAAAUAGUGAUUUAUUAAAUAUUUGACAUUUAGACAUAAGUGGGACAGACGUGCUGGAGCUAAUUAGUGAACUCAGUGUUUCUCUGUACUCAGUUUUGAAGACAGACUUUAUACUAAAGUAUACCAUGUGAUAGAUGAAGUAAAAAUAUUUAGCUUAACUUAGAAUAUUAGAAAUACAAAGAAUAUUAGCCCUCAUAAAUAUGAAAACUAUGACUCUGCAAGAUUCUGUGCUUUGCUGAAGGUCUUGAAGCAUGUUAUUUGCAGAAACAGGACUGGAAUUUGGGCCUUCUAACUUUCAAUCCAGGGUUCUUAUCUUUCUCAACUAUGAAAAGUUGAUAGAUCUAAGAGGAUAACAAUAUUUUCAAAAUUUACAGAGAACUCUGUUUUUAUUCUAUUGGAUUGUAUAUAUUUUCAGUGGCCAUAUUCUUUAACACAGAGAAGAAAGUGAUAUGACUACUUAAGGCAAAAUCAUUCAUUUAGAGCUUAAGUAAUUUAUUACCUGUGUGCAAGUACUGGCUUGUUUACCUGGGAUUUAACGUAUUUCAUGGAACUUCUGCUAAUUGAUUUUAAAACUUGGAAUUUGUUUUAUUUCUUAAAUGUUAGGGACAUAGAGUAUGCUACCCAAGGAGUAAAUUUGUAUAUGUUAUUAAUAUCUGGAUAUAAAACAUAAGAUAGCUUAUUUUCAGUAAUAUAUUCAAAUCAUUUUUUUCUUGUGAUCAUAUACUGUCUUCACUGCACAAAUUGCCAUUUUAGAUGAAAUUUUUGUCUCAGCUUU